UCCUAGCCCCGACUGCAGUGAAAAGCCUAUGCCGGUUGAAAACCACUUUUUUCUGGUGGUGGCAGAGCGACUAAAAGAAGCUCCUGCCAGCGGCUAGAAAAAGGGUUUAAAACCCAAUAGCUUGCAGCGUAGGGCGGGUAUGGCU
rnacentral:sRNA from 1 species